rnacentral:rRNA from 1 species
GACGAACGCUGGCGGCGUGCUUAAUACAUGCAAGUCGAACGGAAAGGCCCUGCUUUUGUGGGGUGCUCGAGUGGCGAACGGGUGAGUAAAACGUGAGUAACCUGCCCUUGACUUUGGGAUAACUUCAGGAAACUGGGGCUAAUACCGGAUAGGAGCUCCUGCUGCAUGGUGGGGGUUGGAAAGAUUCGGCGGUUGGGGAUGGACUAGCGGCUUAUCCGCUUGUUGGUGGGGUAGUGGAUUACCAAGGCUUUGACGGGUAGCCGGCCUGAGAGGGUGACCGGCCACAUUGGGACUGAGGUACGGAGCAGACUCGUACGGGAGGCAGCAGGGGCGAAUAUGGCACAACAGACGGAAGCCUGAUCCAGCAGCGCCGCGUGCGGGAAGCCGGCCUGCGAGUUGUAAACCGCUUUCACCGGAGACGAAGCGUGAGUGACGGUAAUGGGUAAGAAAGCACCGGCUAACUACGUG